rnacentral:lncRNA from 1 species
CCAUAAGCUGCUCAUCCAGGGCCUCCACUCCGAUUCUACUGCACAGAGGGCUGGCAACGGUAGCAUAGCCUAUCACAGGAUCGCAGUGGGCAAUAUUAGAAAACCUAGCACUUUUCAAUCUGGAGGGCAGAAUGACAGACACAGCAACCUUCAGAAGGAAAACAUCCUCUUUCAAAGGCUGCAACGAAUGGCAUUGUAAUCCAAAGAGCUGGUGCCCUUUGGCACCACCCAGGAGUUGAACUCUUCUUCCCUCUGAUUCUAACCAUGCUUUAAGCAAGGCAUGUACCUCGGUUUGGGCUGGAUUGACCAGGUUUUCCUCAUCUCACAAGUGGACAAUGUAUGUUUGUGUGUGUAUGUAUGUGUGUGUGUGCGUGUGUGCUUGUGUGUGUGUGUGUGUGUGUGUGUGAGAGAGAGAGAGAGAGAGAGAGAGAGAGAGAGAGAGCAAGAGAGCAAGCCCUUUCUGAAGGUGGUGGCCUCAGAUUAUACACUUAGUACACCAUGACGAGCCUGGUUAGUUGGUUUGUUUGCCUAAUUAUCACUUAUCAGUGAAAAUGAAUAUUGGUGGAGGAAGGGGAAAAACACACACACACACAC